CCGAAUUGUCAACAAGAGUUGUUGCUGGUCCUCAAAUGGGGGCAUGUGCACGCUCUGUUCACACAUCCACUCACACCCUGUGCACCCUCUGUGGUUCUAUGGUUGGGGGGCCUGUCCCCCCUGCUGUGGUUCUGCAUCUUUACACACACACUGUAACAAAGUCUUAUGGAAUGCAUGCCGCGUUUAACGCAAUACAAUA
rnacentral:misc_RNA from 1 species